AUUGAACGCUGGCGGUAUGCUUAACACAUGCAAGUCGAACGCUGAAGGGUGCUUGCACCUGGAUGAGUGGCGGACGGGUGCGGAAUGCAUAGGAAUCUGCCUAUUAGUGGGGGAUAACGCGGGGAAACUCACGCUAAUAUCGCAUACGCGCUACGGAGGAAAGCCGGAGACCUUCGGGCCUGGUGCUAACAGAUGAGCCUAUGUCGGAUUAGCUAGUUGGUGGGAUAAAGGCCUGCAAAGGCGACGAUCCGCAGCUGGUCUGAGAGGAUGAUCAGCCACACUGGGACUGAGACACGGCCCAGACUCCUACGGGAGGGAGCAGUGGGGAAUAUUGGACGAUGGGCGCAAGCCUGAUCCAGCAAUACCGCGUGUGUGAAGAAGGCCUGAGGGUUGUAAAGCACUUUCAAUGGGAAGGAACACCUAUCGGUUAAUACCCGGUAGAAUGACAUUACCCAUACAAGAAGCACCGGCUAACUCCGUGCCAGCCGCCGCGGUAACAC
rnacentral:rRNA from 1 species